rnacentral:tRNA from 1 species
AUGUGGUUCAAGAGGUAACACGCUCGCCUGGCAUGCGUGGGCCCUGGGUUCGAUCCCCAGAACCACAUA